rnacentral:rRNA from 1 species
GACGAACGCUGGCGGCGUGCCUAAUACAUGCAAGUAGAACGCAGUUGCGAACGGUUGAGUACCGCUUAGUUACCUGCCUCAUAGCGGGGGAUAACUGUUGGAAACGAUCGCUAAUACCUCAUACUUUGAGAUUGACCUGCGUUGUAUUAGGUAGUUGGUGAGGUAAAGGGUCACCAAGGCGCAGAUCCAGAGCCGACCCGAUAGGGUGAGUGGGCACACCGGGAACGAGACACGGCCCAGAACCCUUAGGGAGGCAGGAGGAGGGAAUCCUUGGCAAUGGACGGAAGUCUGACCGAGCAACGCCGCGGGAGGGAAGAAGGUUUUCGGAUCGGAAAGCCCUGUUGGUAGAGAAGCGGUAACUAACCAGAAAGCGACGGCUAACUACGUGCCAGCAGCCGCGGUAAUAC